GGAAAACUGGCAGGGUGGUAGAUCUCCAGGACCAGGAAUGAACGACCCUGAUCUAGUGUACCAACAAAGUGUGAAAUUUCCUGUAGAUUUUCCGUUCACCUUCUGGGUGAAGAGUCAAUUUUUGAUGGCAUGUUUAUAUAAUAAAGUGAAGAAACUUGUUAAAUAGCAACUGCUGACAUUUAAUUAUGUGCUGCCAUGCAUGGGUAACGUACUUACCUCCAAAUAUUUGACAAAAUCUGCCAAACAUGCCAAUCCAGCCUCUGCACAGGUUUAUUUUUACUCAUUUGUGUUCUGGAGCUGCAGUGAUCCAAAUACAUAUUAAUCUAUGCAGGGGAUUAAAGGACAUCUAGCAUCAGCUCCCCUGCUCCUUCCAUCCAUGCCAAAUAAAUACAUUUAUAUGAGGUAAACAAUAGCAAAUGUCAUCAGUGUAUGCACUUGCAUACAGAUACAAGACUCUUAUUAAUUAUGUUGAAUUUGGAGACCCAUUAAUCAUCCAAAGCCUGAAUUUCUUGCUGCCAUUGUUUCAUUUUUGUUUAGAGUGACGUCCAUCAGGAUCACUGAAACCUCUAAUCUCGUGACCUUUUAGGUUUCAGAGGAGGCUUUGCUGGAGACGAUCGUGUCAAAGGUGUAUGGUCUACCUUCCUGUGAUGAACGUGUGUUCCAUGAAGUCCAGAAUGACUGGAGGAUGAUGGAAUGCAAGUUUCCCAAAGCAGGAUGUAGUUCCAUGGGAGGCUGAUGUGCAGCCACAGAAAUGAAGAGACAUUUGCAUUAGAUAGACUAAGUGGCUGUAGGAAAUUGAGUGCAUGCUGUUCAACACCUUUUUCUGAGUCCUGCAGAUUGAGGAUGUGAGGAAGAAAACAAGCUUCGCUGUUGUCUCUCACCCAGACUCGAAGGACGCCUUCAGCCUGGGAGACACUGACGAGAUCCAGGGACUCCUGCAUGACAGCAUGGUCGACUUAGAAACAGUGGCAUCGUCUCGCUACCUGUCUGCUUUCAGGCUGAGGGGUGGACAAACUGCUGAGCCUGUUUACUCUGACGCUGGUAACAAUCUGUGUGCCCUUCACAUGUGAAGCAGUGAUUCUUCUGCUGAUAUGGCAGCUUUAUCUGCCUUCUAUAGCUCUGUCAGGCUGGAGUCGCCCUCUUGGUGCUGGAAAUGCAAAACCCUCUAUGGCAUCAGAUCCAAAUUCAGAUUUGAACUCCAUCCUGUUAAACAGCAUCACCCCCUGGUGGAGGGGAAAAAACAAACCUUAAUAUAUUUUUAAAGUGAUUGCUUUUAAGGACAUUCUCUUCUGCUGAAUAUUUUUCCAUCUGCUUUAUUCAUUUAUUUAUUUAGUUCAAGUCAUCUCUUCUGCCUCACCUCACAGCCUCUUUCUUACUUCUCCACCUCGUCGACUUUCUUCUCCAGCCUGAGUGGCUCACCUGCCAAAGAAAUUGGCUGUAUCUACAGAGAACUUUUAUGGCUUCAGACAUGAACACAGACAUGAAGAGACAGCUGCCAGCGGAGUACAAUCUGUUUCUUCAGGCGGACAAGUCCUGGAAGGAAACUAUGCCAAAGACCAAGGCGCUGCCUGAUCCGAGGCCGCAGUUGCACAGCCCGGUCUUAUGGAGGCUUGACAGCACAAUCACAAUGUUAUGGAUCAGUGCACCACAUCUGAUCAGAGAAAUGGAAGAAACUUGACUCACCUUUGGUGUCAUGAUGACUCACUGGAACAUUUCUCAUCAAAACAUUAAGAAUACAAUAAAUAUAUCUUACAAAAAUCACAUUCUGCUGUGUUGGGGUUUGUUGAAAUGAGUGGAAAAAAAAUGAAAAAAACAAAUAAAGGGCUAAACUGCAAAAGCCCUUUAA